ensembl:lncRNA novel transcript
AGUGGUUGACUGAAACGUCUUUAUGUGGCACAUGACCGUAACUCAAAGAAGACAAAGCUUGUGAAAAUAUUUUAUAUACUGAAGUGUAAGCUUACGAAAAUUUCAGAGAACCUAGUAUAAAUUGGACGUGCAACUGCUAAUGGAAGAAUGCCUCAAGUAAGCAUGUAUACGACUCCAAUAAACACACUAUGCAUGCUCCCCUCCCAAGUCCUGGCAAGCCACUGUGCAUGCAGACAGCCCACCCCAAGGGAAAAAUCAGGGGAGAAGGGACAUAGACCCCAGAAGUAUGCCAACGUAUAAAACCCUAAGUCAAAGGUCAAAUGGGGUACUUGACUUUCAAGUCGCCCACUUGGCCCUCUUCCCAGUGUAUUUCCUUCCUUUUGUUCCUGCUGUGAAGCUUUUUAAUAAACUUUCACUCCUGCUCUAAAA